rnacentral:rRNA from 1 species
GGGGGGGGGGGGGGGGGGGGGGGGGGGGGGCGGGGGGGGGGGGGGAGCGGGGGCGGGCGGGGGGGGAGGAGUGGCGGACGGGUGAGUAAUACGUGAGUGACCUGCGCUGGACGCUGGGAUAAGCCCGGGAAACGGGGUCGAAGACUGGAUGCUCCAUGUCACCGCAUGGUGGGGUGUGGGAAGGGGUUACUGGUCUUGGGUGGGCUCACGGCCUAUCAGCUUGUUGGUGAGGUACUGGCGCACCAAGGCGACGACGGGUAGCCGGCCUGAGAGGGUGACCGGCCACACUGGGACUGAGACACGGCCCAGACUCCUACGGGAGGCAGCAGUGGGGAAUAUUGCACAAUGGGCGAAAGCCUGAUGCAGCGACGCCGCGUGAGGGAUGACGGCCUUCGGGUUGUAAACCUCUUUCAGCAGGGAAGAAGCCACAAGUGACGGUACCUGCAGAAGAAGCGCCGGCUAACUACGUG